GACGAACGCUGGCGGCGUGCUUAACACAUGCAAGUCGAACGGAAAGGCCCUGCUUUUGUGGGGUGCUCGAGUGGCGAACGGGUGAGUAACACGUGAGUAACCUGCCCUUGACUUUGGGAUAACUUCAGGAAACUGGGGCUAAUACCGGAUAGGAGCUCCUGCUGCAGGGGGGGGGUUGGAAAGUUUCGGCGGUGGGGGAUGGACUCGCGGCUUAUCAGCUUGUUGGGCGGGUAGUGGCUUACCAACGCAUUGGCGGGUAGCCGGCACGAGAGGGUGACCGGCGACCAUGGUCCUGAGGUACGGCCCAGUGUCGAAUGGUGGACAACAGGCGAGAACAUGGCACAACGAGGCGAAGCCUGAUGCAGCAGUGCCCGGUGCGGGAUGACGGCCUUCGGGGUGGAAACCGCAUUAGCUUGUGACGAAGCUUGAGUGACGGUACUGGGUGAAGAAGCACCGGCUAACUACGUG
rnacentral:rRNA from 1 species